AACGAACGCUGGCGGCAGGCCUAACACAUGCAAGUCGAACGCACCGCAAGGUGAGUGGCGCACGGGUGAGUAACACGUGGGAAUGUACCCUUUGGUUCGGAAUAACGUCUGGAAACGGACGCUAAUACCGGAUGAGCCCUGCGGGGGAAAGAUUUAUCGCCAAAGGAGCAGCCCGCGUCUGAUUAGCUAGUUGGUGGGGUAAAGGCCUACCAAGGCGACGAUCAGUAGCUGGUCUGAGAGGAUGAUCAGCCACACUGGGACUGAGACACGGCCCAGACUCCUACGGGAGGCGGCAGUGGGGAAUAUUGGACAAUGGGCGGAAGCCUGAUCCAGCCAUGCCGCGUGAGUGAUGAAGGCCUUCGGGUUGUAAAGCUCUUUCGCACGCGACGAUGAUGACGGUAGCGUGAGAAGAAGCCCCGGCUAACUUCGUGCCAGCCGCCGCAGUAAAAC
rnacentral:rRNA from 1 species